rnacentral:rRNA from 1 species
UACAGAGGGUGCGAGCGUUAAUCGGAAUUACUGGGCGUAAAGCGUGCGCAGGCGGUUUCGUAAGUCUGUCGUGAAAUCCCCGGGCUUAACCUGGGAAUGGCGAUGGAGACUGCGAGGCUAGAGUUUGGCAGAGGGGGGUAGAAUUCCACGUGUAGCAGUGAAAUGCGUAGAGAUGUGGAGGAACACCGAUGGCGAAGGCAGCCCCCUGGGUCAAAACUGACGCUCAUGCACGAAAGCGUGGGGAGCAAACAGG